rnacentral:misc_RNA from 1 species
AUCAGCGAGCCUUCUCAGCUCACGUAAAAAAAAAGAGAACAGCACAGGGGUGAAGCAGCCACACUAACUAUGUCUGCCACGAUCAAAGCCGCGCGCGCGUGCGCCUCUACAGUGCUCUUUCGCAGCUUGCGCCUGCACGCCUUCCAAGGCGCGCUGCCGCAUGUCCUGGUCGUGGUGGAUCGCGUGCCGUGUGUGCUGCAGAAGGUUGUCGCGGAGGGUUACCUGGAGGUGCUGCGCGCGUACGGGCGGCAGGGCGCAGCAUAUGUCACGAGCAACUGCGACAGCGUGUUGAGGGCACCGACGGAGCCGUUUCCGGGAACGGCAGACGACAGGGAAUCACUUCAGAGCCAUAACGGCGAGCUGUUCAUCCCUCUGGAACCCGGCGCAGAGACGCCGAGCGGGUCGGCAGGCUUCACUCCACGCGUUUCGCCGCCGUCGUUCGCCGCGGAUGAAUCUGCUCCUCUCUCCUACUCCCUCAUGCCGUUUUGCAGCGACAACUUCCUGAGCCAUGUGAAACGGCUGCAACGGUUCUUUCGCCACUGCGGUGACGGGCAACUGCAACAGCAAUGCCACCAGCAUGAGACAGAGGCUGCCGCUGGGGAUGCAUCAAUAACGCCGCCGCCUCCGACCGCACUGCCGAGUGUUUGGACGUCCGAGUACUUCAAAGAAGAGUUCGAAGCUCUGUGCCCGCUGCUGGGGCCACUGCUCUCGUCGAAAGGCGAGGCGGUCAAGGGCGAUGCCACCGACGAGCAACCCCGAUGGCAGGUACUUUUUCACGGACCGCCACGAGAGCUCCUCGGGUGCGUCAUGGUGCAAGAGAACGCUUUCCAAAACGAGAUGAGGCGCUAUCGGCUUCGUCUGAGCCUGUUUGACCUCGGCAUUCGUGUUGCGGAGCACUGCCACCUGGGUAUCAUGAGCCAGAGAGCGGACCGCUUGGCCGGCGAGGGCCACUUCAAGGAGGCGCUGGAGGACGACCAAGUGUACAGCUACGCCCGCUCGUGCGCUUUCGCGCCCGAGCAUGCCCAGUGCCUCGCGAAAGCCAUCGCGGACUCAAUCGACUUGUACAGCUGGCGCCGCUCUGGGUGUGCCGGCGGCGCCGCAGCACGCGCAGCGCAAGUGUAUCCGGCCUCCAUAACGGCCGCGUUGCAGAGUGCUGAGCUCUGGUCUAUCUUCAAUACUGGCGCACUGAACGUCUGCGCAUCUGCGACGGCGGCUGACGACACCGCCACGGAUGUCGAAGCCGUCUUACGGGAACCAAUCGAAGGCCCUGGCAUGCCGCUCUUGAUUGUAUGCCGCGACACAGCCAAGGUACUCACCUAUGGCGGCGGGAUGGAGGACUGUUUGACCAACACCGGGUACUAUGCUGCAGCCUACGCGCCGGAGCGCAACGAUGUCGCGCGGCACCGUGAGCGCUUUCGGACGGCGUACAGCGAAUCGAGUGGCGGAGACGGCGAGAGCGAGAGGGACGAGGAGGACGCCACUGCGAACCCCCCGGUGCACGGCCGCCUGAAGAAGAAGGAGUACCUCGCAGUGCUCAGGGCGAAGGGGCAGAAGCCGAACAAGCCCCAGCACGAUAACGCCGAUGACGAGGACGGCGCCGUCUCUCGCAGCGUCCCUGCCGGUUCCUGCAUUUCCAACAGCAUCGGCGGCACCUUUCCCAUCGGCGAGGUCAUCAGCGAGUCGUUUGACCUCUCGCAACUCAGUGGCACGUGCGACGUGUUUGCGUAUCCUGACGUGUUCAAGAAGGUCACGAUGAGCCGCCCAUCACCGUUCACCAUGACGGUAGAGAAAGGCGUUGUCACGCACAUCAGCGACGGUGCCCCCAAGGAGUUCCUCGACCUGUUCAGCCUCGUUCGCCAGGUGGAAGGCGAGUGCUAUGUGCGGGAGUUGGGCAUUGGCCUCAACCCGUACGUCGGACCAGCCCACGUUGUGAGCGACGUGACUACGUUUGAGCGGCAGUGGGGCAUCCACCUCUCCCUUGGCCAGCGCCACCCUCUGUUCGUAAAGCAGCGUGAGCGGCGCAACGCCGACGGUUCGGUGGCCACCGGGGUGCACGUGGAUGGCCCUGUCCUCAAGCGCAAAGCCGGCAAGUAUCACAUUGACGUGUUUGUGGAUGCAGCGCAGCUUCGCAUGGGCGACAUGUUUGCGGUCGACUUCACCAAAGGUAUCGCCGUCCCGUGAGCGGCGUUUGUGCUUGUUGCACUGGCAGUGCGCAGACCCGCGGCAGCGAACUCCUCUUCCCCCUCCUCUUACUCCGCUCUCCCCUUACUGCGCAAGUGGAUGGGUUCCUACAUGCGUGAGAGGCACGGCGAAGCAUCGCGUGUGCGUGCGCGAUAGCGUGCAAUAUGUCUCGAAGGGAAGUGGGAACAGGGUGUGAGAGGUGGUGAGGGUGGUGCGGCGCAGGACGAUCACGGAGGCGUCCUGCGGCAAAAGAACAAGAGCACUCACGCCGACGAACUCACAUCAACAGCUGCAAAACCGUCGCCUCAAUGGCACAAAAGCGCUUUCCCACCACUGACUCAUCGGCUCGGCGCAUUCGCACGCCUUACCCCCCGCUGAGUAUACUCCCAAAGGAAGGCAGCAGGCGCCUUCUAUUUGUGUAGGCGCUCGCUUUACCACGGCGCACAUAGUGGUGGAAGCGCAAAAAGGGAAGAGCUUCGCACCCCAUCUUACACGCAUUGCAGGGAGGAGGUGCACUCUUCUCCGCUGCGCUGCGCUGCGCGCGUGUGCGGCUUUUCUGGUCACUAACCAUCGCCCCUUCGUGCUU